rnacentral:rRNA from 1 species
AUGCCACCGGAUAGAUACAUCGAGUUUUUGAUAGAGCUAUUGCCAGGUACAGGGCCGAUAUCCAAGAGACCCUAUCGGAUGCCGGCACAUGACCAGGAGGAAAUUAUGAAGCAGAUCAAAGAGUUGUUGGAGAAAGGUUACAUUCGUAGAAGUUCAUCACCUUGGGGAGCCCCAGUACUUUUGGUGGAGAAGAAGGAUAAAUCCCUGAGGAUGGUCGUUGAUUACGGAGCUCUGAAUGAAGUAACGAUAAAGAACAAGUAUCCCUUACCAAUGAUUAAUGAUCUGUUUGAUCAGUUACAAGGAGCUAAGGUGUUUUCAAAGAUUGAUCUACGAUCAGGAUACCAUCAGUUGAAGAUCCGAGAGAAGGAUAUACCAAAGACAGCGUUUACCACGCGGUAUGGAUUAUAUGAGUACACGGUCAUGUCAUUUGGACUGACUAACGCCCCUGCCUAUUUCAUGAGUAUGAUGAACAAGGUGUUCAUGGAGUAUUUGGACAAGUUUGUUGUGGUAUUUAUUGAUGAUAUUAUGAUAUACUCGAAGAACGAAGAGGAGCAUGCGGAACACUUGCGUUUGGUUCUCGAGAAACUCAGGGAACAC